rnacentral:lncRNA from 1 species
AUGUAUGUAUCUGUUUUGAAUAUCUUGAAAUAAAGAGGCAAGAAAAGUAUGUAGAUGGUGUGAGUCAACUUGAUCUUUAUUUGGAAGAGAUAGAGGGAUAUUAUAAAAAUCCUUUAGAAUAUUGGAAGUGCAAAGGUCAUAAAUAUGGUAUUCUUGAAAGGAUGGCUAGAGAUGUGUUUAGCAUUCCAAUAAUCACAGUUGCAUCAGAAUCUGCUUUUAGUCCU